UGAUCCACAUUUUCCAGGGUUGUUUCACCAAGUUGAAUUGACGGUUCUUUCCGAUUUGUCUCAGUUGGUGACGAUUGGUAGAUAAUCUGAGUCUUCUUGGAGUUGAUGGUAAAUCCAACGAAAUACCAUCAAGUCC